AUUGAACGCUGGCGGCAGGCCUAACACAUGCAAGUCGAGCGGAUGAAGGGAGCUUGCUCCUGGAUUCAGCGGCGGGCGGGUGAGUGAUGCCUAGGAAUCUGCCUGGUAGUGGGGGAUAACGUCCGGAAACGGGCGCUAAUACCGCAUACGUCCUGAGGGAGAAAGUGGGGGAUCUUCGGACCUCACGCUAUCAGAUGAGCCUAGGUCGGAUUAGCUAGUUGGUGGGGUAAAGGCCUACCAAGGCGACGAUCCGUAACUGGUCUGAGAGGAUGAUCAGUCACACUGGAACUGAGACACGGUCCAGACUCCUACGGGAGGCAGCAGUGGGGAAUAUUGGACAAUGGGCGAAAGCCUGAUCCAGCCAUGCCGCGUGUGUGAAGAAGGUCUUCGGAUUGUAAAGCACUUUAAGUUGGGAGGAAGGGCAGUAAGUUAAUACCUUGCUGUUUUGACGUUACCAACAGAAUAAGCACCGGCUAACUUCGUG
rnacentral:rRNA from 1 species